UAAGGAAUAUUGCUCAAUGGGAGAAAUCCUGAAGCAGCAACGCCGCGUGGAGGAUGAAGGGUCUAUGACUUGUAAACUCCUGUAAAGAAGGAAAAAAUUCCCAUUUGAUGGGAGAUGAUGGUACUUCUGGAGUAAGCCCCGGCUAACUACGUGCCAGCAGCCGCGGUAAUACGUAGGGGGCACGCGUUGUCCGGAUUUACUGGGUGUAAAGGGUGCUCAGGCGGAUUUGUAAGUCAUAGGUGAAAUCUUACAGCUUAACUGUGAAACUGCCUUUGAUACUGCAAGCCUAGAGUAUGGAAGAGAGUGAUGGAAUAUCUGGUGUAGCAGUCAAAUGCGUAGAUAUCAGAUAGAACACCAAUGGCGAAGGCAGUCACUUGGUCCAUUACUGACGCUAAAGCACGAAAGCGUGGGUAGCAAAC
rnacentral:rRNA from 1 species